rnacentral:tRNA from 1 species
AAGCUGAAAUUCUUCUUAAACUAUUCCCUG